CAUAUCAUAGUGUUGUUGUUGUUUUUUUUUAGAUAGAAGGAGCUUUUGACAAUCUUCCAUUUAAAGCUAUAGAAGAAGCUUUUUAAGUCUAGCAUUGAUUAUUGUGCAAAAUAAAUGGUAAAGGAACCAUUUCGAAAAUAGAACCGUUGAAUGUUCUCAACAAGGAUGUAAAGUAUAUUUUACUUCAACAAAAGUAUGCCCGCUUGGUGUAAUUUUAUCCCCAUUCGUUUGGAACUGUUCUAUUCAGUAAAAAAAUUUACCUACGCUCCUGGCAAAUAUUGACAUUUGGAUUUGCGGAUGAUAUAGUCUUGAUAAUAACUGGAAUAGAUCUGUCAACAAUUAGUUCUAUGAGGAAGAAAGGGGUGAAUGAAAUGAGCAGGUCUGUGGAUAAGGUUGGUCUUAAGUUUGGUAAAAAUAAAAACAAAGCAAUGUUAUAUACUUGGUAUCAUAAAGGGAAUGGAACAAUUUUAACUUCAUCAAGCCUGACGAGACGAAAUAAUUCCGCCAGCGAAGACAAAUUUUAUAGAAAAAUCAUGCCAAAGAUGAGAUUAAAAGUAAUUUUUUCAAAGAUCAUGACGAAGACUUGACAAAGAGAACACUGACGAAGGUGAAGUUUCUGACAAAUACAAAAUUCUAACGAAGACGAAACUGCGAUGAAAACGAGACAAGGACGAAAUAAAAGAUAAGUAUGACAAAACAAUAACGAUGUCUGACUAAGAUAAUAUUAUGACACUGACGAAAUAUUAUAAAACUUAAAACUUACGAUUACGAAGACAGAAAAUAUCAAUACUAUUACUGAUUCUGAUGGUUCGUGCAACAUGGCCUCAUGGUUUUACAACAAACUCAUACCAUAAAUUUUUUCUUAAAGGGUAUGAAAUUUAGUAUUGGUGGUUGUAUGGAUGUAUUUCAACAGCCCUCAAGUUGUGCAAUAUGUCAGUAUGGCCCAAAGUAGGUUCAUAACUCACCACCAAAUCCUUAUAAUUGGCAAAGGAACCCCUUGUUUGAGACUCUAUUUACUUUUUCUGCCCACAAGUUUGGUAAUAUACCGACACGGGUCGCAUUGGGCUCAUAACCAAACGCCAAUCCACUGUUUUUUGAUGUUACAUCUAGAGAAUAAGUAGAAAUUUAUACUUAGAUGAUCCAUUUGACUUCCUACUGGGUUUGAAAAGGCGGUCAGCAUCCAGAAUGAGGGUUCAAGCUUAAAAACAUUGAAGAGACAUAACUAUAAAUUGCAAAAUACCAUUUGUUGAACUUACAGAGCAAAGUACAAAAAUCUGUUAAAUUUUAGUCCCUUGUGAUUCAUUCCUAAAUCUGUGAGAAAAAAUAUUGAUUUUUUUAAAAUAGACAUCCUUAUUCUUAUGCACCAGUGUUCCUUUUACUAUGUAUACCCUCAUAAUAUCCCAAAAUACACGUAAACCCUCAGGCUUUCAACUGCCUUGAUUCCUAGUACUUCAGCUAUACCUACAAACUGGGAGCCAGAUUGUAUUUUGGGAUAUUAGGAGGGUUUCUUGAUGCUCAGGGAAGGGCCAACGGAAUUAUCGAACUUGCCUCGGACCAGCAGCUCAUCUGCAGAACAAGUGGGCUUGGGUGUAUUAUAAAAUAAAAUAAUAGAAGGGUGCCAAAAACGAUUGAGUUUAAUUUUUUUUUUUACCUAGGAUUUUACCUAUACUACUUGAUAGCUGGGUUGUAUUUUGGGUUAUUAUGAGUGUUUCUUGUUGCUCAGGAAAGCAGCAGCUCUCCAAUUUCACUUGACUUGUGCCUCGCACUUCCCUGCUCAGCCCAUGGACUGGGAUUUAUUGGAAGGGUUCCUGGUAGAAUCACGGCGGCAGUAGAGUAUGAACUGUAUUUUAGCACCGUACUUCAACAGUACAGCCUGAGGGUUUACGUGUAUUUUGGGAUAUUAUGAGGGUAUACAUAGGAAAAGGAACACUGGUGCAUAAGAAUGAGAAUAUCUACUUUACAAAAAUCAAUAUUUUUUCUCACAGAUUCAUGAAUGAAUCACAAGGGACUAAAAUUUAACAGAUUUUUUUUAUUUUGCUUUGUAAUUUCAACAAAUGGUAUUUUGCAAUUUAUAGUUAUGGCUCUUAAAAAAAAAAGUUGUUUCCAAUGCAGAAGAAACUCUGACUAAGACGAAACUUUGUCGAAGACAAGACAAAUACGAAAUAAAAGACAACUAUGACGAAACAAUGACAAUUUCUGACAAAGAAAAUAUUAUGAUGCAGGCGAAACUAUGAAGAAAACGAUAUCUGACAAAAUGACGUCGAAGAUUAAUGACUGACAAAGACUAUUUGCUGAGGAAGAUAAGUACAUUUAGACUACCCUAUAAAAAAGGCUAAAAGGGCUUUAUUCUCUACACGUAAAAAAGGAUGGUUCUUUCUCAAUAUUUAAUCCAUUCCUUAUUCCAUUCUUAUAUUACCCUAGAAGGGAGCUUUGAUUCUAAUAUUGAUACGAUGAUAGCGUUGAGUGAGUUCUCAAUCUCCUUUAAGGUGCACUUUAAUCUUCAGGAUAAGCUUGAAUGACCCUUUAAUGCAAUUCAGCCUUGUAAGACCAUGAUGUUCACAAAUCUUUUUCAGAUAAAGCAAUUUCAAUAAAUUUAAAUUUUCUAUUGUUGACAUCACUUUAAUGGUGUCAUAGUGAAGACAAAAUAAGAAAUAUCACGACACUUUGAAACAAACAAUCGUCAAGUUGACAUUAUCUAAUACACAUUGAUGAUCAACGGUGAAUAAAAAUUCAUAUUUCUUAGACUACAAUUAUCUUAAUGGAAAAGAGAAAUGUACUCCGUCUUUGGAAAAUCCUCUCAUUUGAUCUGUCAUCCCCAUGAAAGAUAACAUAACUGAAAUGUUGGUUGGGAUGGAAGUCUUAUAAUGUUUUUGUAUUCUGUGAAUCAACUGAUACUUUAUAUCUAUUUUUAAUAUAAAUAUUAUAUUCAAUUUUGGUUUUGGUUUGAUGGUUCAUACCAAAUGUUUUUAAUGUAUUCGUUCGAUCCAAUUCAUUCGUUACUAUGACCUUUAUAACGAUUUUUUUUUUACUCAGUGAAAUUGUAGUUCUUAAAUUUUAGAUCUUCCAAUAUUAUUCAUUAAAAAUUCUCCACAAAUAUCACCUUCAGUCCUGAAGAAUCUUUUAAUCCAGUAAAAUUGAGUUCCUAAUUGCAAAAGAUACAAUCAAUUAUGCAUUCAGUGAAGGUUGGUGAUAGCAGAAUUCCAUCAGGUUUGGAAGUUUACCAGCAGAUACAAGUACAAAAUAGUUUUAAGGAUUCGGUGUUACACUCCAAGAAUUAGAUUUCUCUAAACUAUAAAAUAAUAACUAUUGGUGUUUAUCACACGCCGGACUUUAAAAAAAAAACCGGUUUAGAUGAUUGCACCGAUCUCCUACUCCCCUGUUAUUUCACGACCGACUCGCUCCCUUAUUUUUUUUUUUUUUUUUUUUUUUUUUUUUUGUCUUCUUCUUUAAGUUAAGCAGACUUUAAUUACGUCAGUAUUUAUGUAGUGUGUAAAGUAAAGACAUGGGGGAAUACAAAAUAAACUUUUCAAUAUAUGUGGAAAGGAAAAAGACGAGAAGAAGAAGAACAGGAGUGAUAGGGUAUCUUCGUUGUUUACUUAUAUUCCUUUGUAAACACAUCAACAAUAAUUUGGACAACCCAUGAAGUUAAUUUCAAUAAUCUACUCUUUUCAAGAAAUAAGAACGUCCUUCUCGCCAGUAGUACUUGAAUUACAAUUUGGUUUUAACUAAUCCAUCUAUAUGUCAGUGUUACUAUGAGUAGGUUAGGCAACAGGAAAAUUGCUUUUUUUUUCUUCCGAAAGAGUUUCUAGAUGAGUAUGUACUGUAUCUCCUCAUUUUGAUGCUAAUAUCAAAUAAGUUCAAUCCUAGGAAUCUUUUAUUUUAGUGAGCAAGGACGGACUCAACAACAUAACAAAGAGCUAUCAUCCUUUUCGAUCAGGACCUUUCAAGAUAAUACGAAUAUAGUCCACUAAUGAAUUACUCAUUCUAAUCAAGCUGGGAAAAGGGGCCAACAUUUCUUUUCAUGAAUGUAUCUUAUCCAAUGGAAAGACAUUACUAUGUUUUAAUGAUUUGCUGUAAAUAAUUUAGCAUGAUAUUUAAUACAUAUAUGAUGAUAUCCAUAUGGUCCUUUUAAAUAAAUUUUUGUAUUUUAAAAUUUA
rnacentral:lncRNA from 1 species